rnacentral:lncRNA from 1 species
CAAAAUGAGGCAGAACUUAGCUUGUCACAUAGGUGUAUUCUUCCUGGAACCGAUGCGGGGUCAGAAAACUGAUGGCUUUUAAGCAAGCUGGACGGGUCCUCUCAGCGCAUUCCCCCACCCGCCUGGCGCCAAUGGAGCUGGCCUGGCCCGCCCAGCCCCUCCCCGCCCCGUCCGCGCUCGGACCGGACUUUCAGGACUGCAGGGGAAAGGGUGGACACCCAGCCUCCCGCCAGGUCAGAGCAGAGGCUAAAAAUGGCCCAGGGGAGACUGCUGGAGUUGCAUGGAGUUCGGGAGCCUAGGAGGGGUCUGAAAAUAACUGUCAAAAAGUUUGAAGGGUGUGUGUUGGCUUGGGGAAAAAAGAGGGUGGAGUGCAUUACAUAAAACUUUUGCAGCUUGUAUUUCCUUUUUUUUUUUUUAUGUUUAAGGACGGCGGAGAUACCUUCAACGUAAGACUGCAAUCAUAAUUAAAACAUGAAUAGUAACAUUUUAAGUUCGUUGUGCCAUUAUGAACUCAUGUUAGUGUUGGACAUUCUAUGAUCCCAGUCCUGUUUAGGCAACGUUAUUGAGGGAUUUAGUUUGCGGAUCUACCUUUCAGGGACAAAGAACCUAGACAGGGAAAGAACAGUAACUUUUGACAGAAAUUUUGCUUCCUGUGAGAUGUGGUUAUUCUCUUCCUUUCACAUCUGUUUGUAGUUCUUUUAGUUUUCCCAGGCAUUAAAUAAAUUAAACCCUCUUUCUUGGAAUCACCAAUAUAUUAAUAUAUUGGGGGGAAAAAGAUUUGAAUUACUUAGGAAGUUGAUGAACUACCCACUCCAACAAUAGAGCCCUGAAAAUCAGGCUUAAGCUUUUGGCCAUACUACUAAAGACUAUCCCUCCUGACAAACACACACCCUCUUUUUUUUUUUUUUUUUUUAACUGGUUGACAGAUCUUUUUUGCAUCAUCACCAUUUUCAGUUUAGAUUCUUACUAGGUGGGAUAAAUUUCACCAUUCUAAUAUCAGCCAUCACCAUUAUGCCUGGUGAAAAAUACAGAAUGUCUGGGCUGCAUCCUCAGAGUGUCUAAUUCGGUGUUUAUGGGAAAGGGACCCAGGAGAAUCUGCAUACCCAGCAAUCCAUGUUUUCAGGGUUGUGGCUUGGGAAAGAACUGUUCCAGACUUCUGCACUUCCUAAGGACCUAUUUUGUAGAUGUUGCAGUGGACGGAAUGUUUGUGCUUUCCCUUAAAUUCAUUUGUUAAAAUCCUAACCCCAAUGUGAUGGUAUUAGGAGAUGGGGCCUUUGGGAGGUAAUUCAUAGCAUAGAGGCCGCAUGAAUGCGAUUAGUGCCCUUAUAAAAAAGGGACCCAGAGAGCUGUCUCCAUCUUUCUGCCACAGGAGGAUACAAAAAUACAUCAGUUUGCAAACCAGAAGAAGGUCCUCACCAGAAACCAACUAUGCUGGCACCCUGAUCUUGGACUUCUAGCCUCCAGAACUGUGAGAAAUAAAUGUGUGUUUAUAAACCAGUCAGUCAGUCUAUGGUGCUUUAUUAUAGCAUCUGGAACGAGCUAAGACAGCUGCUAAGUAGCAUUCCAUUUGACAAGGAAGACUUACCAUUCACACUACUUCUGAGUUCAAUGAAAGAGAGGCUCGGUUCCUUACCUGUAAAAUAGAGAUCAUAUAGAGAUGUCGGGAAGAUUUAAUAACAUCAUGCAAGCAAUAUGCCUACAAGAGUGCCUGUAAAACAUUAAGCCUUGGAAAUAAAAGAAGCAGAACUGUAACAUCCUGAGAAAACACAGAGACAUUGAAGUAUAUGAGCACGACACAUCUGCAAAUCUUUAAGCAAAAUGAUUUCUUUUCCUGCCUGCACUUUCUUUGAGGUUGCAGUAGAGAGUGUGUGUCUACAGAAGGUACUGUAUGCAUAGCUAUAAGGAGGUCUUACCCUCUGUCUUUUUAUCUUUCUGGGCCCUUCUUUACCCUUGUUCUUCCUCUUCUCCUCUCUUAAUUCUAUAAUGGGUCUUCACAUAUUGCUGUACCUUCUCAUGUUACUUGAAUAGAAUUUUGAUACUUAAUCUGAAAAGCUGAUAAGUGAAAACAUUUGUUUUGUGGUAUAUUAAGUACUUUAUUGAAAUUAUUAAUUUCACAUAUUUUAAAGUUAUAUAGCUUUUAGCUAAUUUUUUGGAUAAUU